rnacentral:rRNA from 1 species
GAUGAACGCUGGCGGCGUGCCUAAUACAUGCAAGUCGAGCGAACAGACGAGGAGCUUGCUCCUCUGACGUUAGCGGCGGACGGGUGAGUAACACGUGGAUAACCUACCUAUAAGACUGGGAUAACUUCGGGAAACCGGAGCUAAUACCGGAUAAUAUAUUGAACCGUAUGGUUCAAUAGUGAAAGACGGUUUUGCUGUCACUUAUAGAUGGAUCCGCGCCGCAUUAGCUAGUUGGUAAGGUAACGGCUUACCAAGGCAACGAUGCGUAGCCGACCUGAGAGGGUGAUCGGCCACACUGGAACUGAGACACGGUCCAGACUCCUACGGGAGGCAGCAGUAGGGAAUCUUCCGGAAUGGGCGAAAGCCUGACGGAGCAACGCCGCGUGAGUGAUGAAGGUCUUCGGAUCGUAAAACUCUGUUAUUAGGGAAGAACAAAUGUGUAAGUAACUAUGCACGUCUUGACGGUACCUAAUCAGAAAGCCACGGCUAACUACGUG